AAUGGGUCAGCGACUUAUAUUCUGUAGCAAGGUUAACCGAAUAGGGGAGCCGAAGGGAAACCGAGUCUUAACUGGGCGUUAAGUUGCAGGGUAUAGACCCGAAACCCGGUGAUCUAGCCAUGGGCAGGUUGAAGGUUGGGUAACACUAACUGGAGGACCGAACCGACUAAUGUUGAAAAAUUAGCGGAUGACUUGUGGCUGGGGGUGAAAGGCCAAUCAAACCGGGAGAUAGCUGGUUCUCCCCGAAAGCUAUUUAGGUAGCGCCUCGUGAAUUCAUCUCCGGGGGUAGAGCACUGUUUCGGCAAGGGGGUCAUCCCGACUUACCAACCCGAUGCAAACUGCGAAUACCGGAGAAUGUUAUCACGGGAGACACACGGCGGGUGCUAACGUCCGUCGUGAAGAGGGAAACAACCCAGACCGCCAGCUAAGGUCCCAAAGUCAUGGUUAAGUGGGAAACGAUGUGGGAAGGCCCAGACAGCCAGGAUGUUGGCUUAGAAGCAGCCAUCAUUUAAAGAAAGCGUAAUAGCUCACUGGUCGAGUCGGCCUGCGCGGAAGAUGUAACGGGGCUAAACCAUGCACCGAAGCUGCGGCAGCGACACUGUGUGUUGUUGGGUAGGGGAGCGUUCUGUAAGCCUGUGAAGGUGUGCUGUGAGGCAUGCUGGAGGUAUCAGAAGUGCGAAUGCUGACAUAAGUAACGAUAAAGCGGGUGAAAAGCCCGCUCGCCGGAAGACCAAGGGUUCCUGUCCAACGUUAAUCGGGGCAGGGUGAGUCGACCCCUAAGGCGAGGCCGAAAGGCGUAGUCGAUGGGAAACAGGUUAAUAUUCCUGUACUUGGUGUUACUGCGAAGGGGGGACGGAGAAGGCUAUGUUGGCCGGGCGACGGUUGUCCCGGUUUAAGCGUGUAGGCUGGUUUUCCAGGCAAAUCCGGAAAAUCAAGGCUGAGGCGUGAUGACGAGGCACUACGGUGCUGAAGCAACAAAUG
rnacentral:rRNA from 1 species